rnacentral:rRNA from 1 species
ACUCCUACGGGAGGCAGCAGUGGGGAAUAUUGCACAAUGGGGGAAACCCUGAUGCAGCCAUGCCGCGUGUGUGAAGAAGGCCUUCGGGUUGUAAAGCACUUUCAGUAGGGAGGAAGGUAGUGUAGUUAACACCUGCAUUAUUUGACGUUACCUACAGAAGAAGCACCGGCUAACUCCGUGCCAGCAGCCGCGGUAAGUACGGAGGGUGCGAGCGUUAAUCGGAAUUACUGGGCGUAAAGCGCAUGCAGGCGGCCUGUUAAGUCAGAUGUGAAACGCCCGGGGUCUUAACCUCGGAAUUGCAUUUGAAACUGGCAGGCUAGAGUCUUGUAGAGGGGUUAGAAUUUCAGGUGUAGCGGUGAAAUGCGUAGAGAUCUGAAGGAAUACCAGUGCGAA